rnacentral:rRNA from 1 species
UACAGAGGUCUCAAGCGUUGUUCGGAUUCAUUGGGCGUAAAGGGUGCGUAGGCGGCGCGGUAAGUCGGGUGUGAAAUCUCGGAGCUUAACUCCGAAACUGCAUUCGAUACUGCCGUGCUUGAGGACUGGAGAGGAGACUGGAAUUUACGGUGUAGCGGUGAAAUGCGUAGAUAUCGUAAGGAAGACCAGUGGCGAAGGCGGGUCUCAGGACAGUUCCUGACGCUGAGGCACGAAGGUCAGGGGAGCAAACGGG